AUUGAACGCUGGCGGCAUGCUUUACACAUGCAAGUCGAACGGUAACAGGCCUUCGGGCGCUGACAAGUGGCGAACGGGUGAGUAAUGCAUCGGAACGUGCCCAGUCGUGGGGGAUAACGCAGCGAAAGCUGUACUAAUACCGCAUACGAUCUGCGGAUGAAAGCGGGGGACCUUCGGGCCUCGCGCGAUUGGAGCGGCCGAUGUCAGAUUAGGUAGUUGGUGGGGUAAAGGCUCACCAAGCCAACGAUCUGUAGCUGGUCUGAGAGGACGACCAGCCACACUGGGACUGAGACACGGCCCAGACUCCUACGGGAGGCAGCAGUGGGGAAUUUUGGACAAUGGGCGCAAGCCUGAUCCAGCAAUGCCGCGUGCAGGAAGAAGGCCUUCGGGUUGUAAACUGCUUUUGUACGGAGCGAAAAGGCUCCCUCUAAUACAGGGGGCUCAUGACGGUACCGUAAGAAUAAGCACCGGCUAACUACGUGCCAGCCGCCGCCGUAAAAC
rnacentral:rRNA from 1 species